rnacentral:rRNA from 1 species
GACGAACGCUGGCGGCGUGCUUAACACAUGCAAGUCGAACGGAAAGACCCUGCUUUUGUGGGGUGCUCGAGUGGCGAACGGGUGAGUAACACGUGAGUAACCUGCCCUUGACUUUGGGAUAACUUCAGGAAACUGGGGCUAAUACCGGAUAGGAGCUCCUGCUGCAUGGUGGGGGUUGGAAAGUUUCGGCGGUUGGGGAUGGACUCGCGGCUUAUCAGCUUGUUGGUGGGGUAGUGGCUACCAAGGCUUUGACGGGUAGCCGGCCUGAGAGGGUGACCGGCCACAUUGGGACUGAGAUACGGCCCAGACUCCUACGGGAGGCAGCAGUGGGGAAUAUUGCACAAUGGGCGGAAGCCUGAUGCAGCAACGCCGCGUGCGGGAUGACGGCCUUCGGGUUGUAAACCGCUUUCGCCUGUGACGAAGCGUGAGUGACGGUAAUGGGUAAAGAAGCACCGGCUAACUACGUG